rnacentral:lncRNA from 1 species
UUUUAGAAUUUUUUUCUUUUGUCUUUCUCUUACUUUACUGGACCUGAUACUAUGCUAACAAACACCGGUUUUUUUAAGCAUGUAAGUUCUUCAGAUAAAGGAAAAUCCUACACCCUGCUUGGUUGCUGUUGAUUCUUUCAUGAACAACUAGCUACCUUCUUUUGUUGCUGCUGGUUUUCCAGUUUUUUCUUUGAGUCUGUUGUUUCUUCCUUAGUUUCACUUUCUAUUCACAUGUUAGACUGGUAUUAAACCAGAAGCAAAUUUUUGAUUCAAAAGAGAAUUUCUGAUUAUCUAGCUGAUAUAUUUAUAAAUAUUUGUAUUCAGAAUCAGAUUCAAUCUGUAUCACUCUGUGUUCAAUGUACACACAUAUAUAUAUACAUAUAUAAAAAUAUAUUACAAAUAUAUAUGUGCGUGUAUGUAUAUGUGUGUUUAUAUCUAUGUGUACCUGUUAGUCUGCUUGAUAUGUUGACGAAAAUGUAAUUACCGAAAAGAAUAGCAUCAAUUAAGAAAUCCUUUCCGGAACUUUCAGCAACCACUGUUGUUCCUUUCUAUAUCUGGGAGUGUCUUUUCUUUGCUUUUCUUUUUCCCUUUCUUCUUUUUCUUCUUCUUUUCCCUCCAGAAAGGAAGUGAUCAGUGCGAAAGCUGUGUAUAGAUUUGGUGAAGGAUUUUCACCAUUAAGUCAGCAUUCCAGUGAUAGGAAUGCCUGCUAUUCCAGUAACCAGAAAUAGUUAUCUGGGAAGGUGGGUGAGAAUUAUUGAGAAAUAAUUAAACAUAAUUAAAUUAUGAUGCACUCUUGUAAAUCCAUUCCUAUAGUGUUGCUGUUGUUGCUGCUGUGUUUGUUCCGACUGCUACUAUUGCCACUACUGUUGCUGCUACUGCUGCUGCUUCUGCAUCUGUUAUUGCUGCUGCUGCUGUUGUUGUUGCUAUUGCUGCUGAUAGCUGCUGGAAUCGAGGGUGAAGGAGCUGGUUGACUGAUCAAGUCCUCAGUGGACUGGAAAAACAUAAAUUAUUGAGCUUCUCACAACAGACAACAGGAGGCAGGAAUGAUUCAACUGCCGAGUUGCUUAGCAACAAGAAGCUGUAACAUCAAGCAAGCAGAGGAGAAUGUCACCAUAAUCAAAGGCAAGACAGGAGUGAAAGAUAUUGAGGCCAGGUUUCCGUAUAUGUCUCUUUUUUCACAGGCAGAAGCAUAGCAUACAAUAGUGAUGCUCAGUUUUAUGUGCAUGCAUCUGGAUGAAUAAGUAUGUAUAAUACAUAUACUUAUACAUACAUACAUACAUACAUAUAUGUGUGUGUAUGUAUGUAUCUUGGCAGUAUUCAGCCUUUUGUUUAUAUUACAAAGAAAUAAUUGAUUUCAAGACAGUUGCUUUUAAGAACAAACAUACUCAUUUGCAAACACAAACAGGCACACACAUAUACAAACACACACACACACACCAACACUUGCACUUACACGGUUGUAUUUCUUUUAUCAGCGAAAGAGAAGAAAAAGCACACAAAUAAAACUAGAAAUAUGAAAAUGAGAAAAACAAAAAAUAAAAAAAAUUGGUUUUCAUGUAGGGAUCACUUAGUCAGCAAGAGAAUAUAGGAAUAAUUUCUAGCUAAAGCCUUUAAUUAAUUUGCAUGUAACCUACUGAUUUGCAUAAUAACAACGUUAUAAACACUUAUUCCGUAUACAUAAACACAUGCAUAACAUGUAGCAAACUGAUGUAUGAAAGAUAUUGUGUUUAUAUAUAUAUAUAUAUAUUAAGAAACACAUUCACACGCACACACACCCACCCACAUGCACUCACACACACACAUAUAUACACAUAUGCAAAUAUAUAUCUAUGUGUGUGUGUAUGUGCACGUGUGUGUAUACGCACUCACAUUCAUACUCACAUGUAUACUUUCAUAUGAAUGAAAGUAUCAGUUGCACUAUAGGUAUCAGAGUUAGUUUAUGUAUUUAUAUAUACAAGUAUAUAUAUGUAUGUAUGUAUGUAUGUAUGUAUGUAUGUAUGUAUGUAUGUAUGUAUGUAAGUAUGUAUGUAUGUACGUAUAUAUGUAUGUAUGUGUAAGUAUAUAUGGGUGUGUAUGUAUAUAUAAAUAUAAAUAUAUAUAUAUAUAUUUAUGUGUGUGUAUAUAUAUAUAUGUAUGUAUGUAUAUAUAUACAUGUAUAUAUGUUUGUAUGUGUAUUUGUAUAUAUAUAUGUGUGUGUGUGUGUAUCUUUAUGUAUAUGUACAUAUAUUUAUGUAUAUAUGUUUGUAUGUGUGUACACACACACACACACACACACACACAUAUAUAUAUAUAUAUAUAUGUAAUUGAGAAGAGAAUAAAAUAGAUUUGGUUAAACUUUUUAUUGUAACAUCUUUGCUGAAUGCUUUAUUUUAUUUUGUUCUCAGCUAUAAACUCUGUAAUAUAUUCAAAUGUUUAUAAUUCUAAAUGAAAAUCUUAGAACAAAUUAUAUUUAAUAAUCUCAUUUGAAGUUAGAUAUACAUGGAUUCAUAUGAGGUUUGUU